AACAGCCCAAUAUCUCCAGCGAGUAUAUUGCAAAGAAAAAGAGAAAUUAGAGGCACAACCAAAUCCCACAUGUGGACUUGGCCAAUUACGGUAGGCCUCACACCCAUUGCAUUGUGUGCACUCCAAUGUGGGGCUCGAACUCAUGACUAUGAGAUGGAGACCUGAGUCACAAUCGCAAGUCAGAUGCUUCACCGACUGAGCCACUCAGGCACCAGCAGUAUGUUUUCCAGAUUCACUGUACCAUUGUAUGUGUAUCUACAGUUGGUUAAUUUUCAUGGCUGUAUAGAAUUAUACCAGCUAAAUAUAACACAUGUAUCCAUUCUGC